rnacentral:rRNA from 1 species
GAUGAACGCUAGCGACAGGCUUAACACAUGCAAGUCGAGGGGCAGCGAGGGAGUGCUUGCACUUCUGUCGGCGACCGGCGCACGGGUGAGUAACACGUAUGCAACCUGCCCUUGUCAGGGGGAUAAGCGAGGGAAACCUCGUCUAAUACCGCAUAUAUGAUUUAGAGGCAUCUUUUAAUCAGGAAAGAAUUAUCGGACAAGGAUGGGCAUGCGGGACAUUAGGUAGUUGGGGGUGUAACGGACCACCAAGCCGACGAUGUCUAGGGGUUCUGAGAGGAAGGUCCCCCACACUGGUACUGAGACACGGACCAGACUCCUACGGAGGCAGCAGUGAGGAAUAUUGGUCAAUGGGCGAGAGCCUGAACCAGCCAAGUCGCGUGAGGGACGAC